UAUUGCACAAUGGGCGAAAGCCUGAUGCAGCGACGCCGCGUGAGUGAAGAAGUAUCUCGGUAUGUAAACUUCUAUCAGCAGGGAAGAAAAUGACGGUACCUGACUAAGAAGCCCCGGCUAACUACGUGCCAGCAGCCGCAGUAAUACGUAGGGGGCAAGCGUUAUCCGGAUUUACUGGGUGUAAAGGGGGCGUAGGCGGUUUAGCAAGUCAGAAGUGAAAGCCCGGGGCUCAACUCCGGGACUGCUUUUGAAACUGUUGAACUAGAUUGCAGGAGAGGUAAGUGGAAUUCCUAGUGUAGCAGUGAAAUGCGUAGAUAUUAGGAGGAACACCAGUGGCGAAGGCGGCUUACUGGACUGUAAAUGACGCUGAGGCUCGGAAGCGUGGGGAGCAA
rnacentral:rRNA from 1 species